UCCCCCAGCGCUGUUUAAUCAUUUACUGUCCUUUCUUUUCUUCAGGUGCCAGAGUUUGCAGCCUGUUGGGGAAAACCAACAUCAAGGACCAGUGCUUUGAAUGGACUACAGCCCAAUGGGUCUGUCCCAGUGCUGCUCCUUUACUGAGACAGCACUGCGGAGUGCCACCCUGCUUGCUAUGCACAGCUGCUCUGUGGAUUGAAGAUGAAGAUUCGGUGGAGUGAAGGACUGGAGGACUCCUGUGACAUUUUACUGCAGGCAGGGAAGGUGAGUAGUGUGGGAAAAAGGAAUGGCAGAAACCACGGCCAAGAUCUGUCUGGACUUCAGGGGACUCGUGCACAUGAGCUUGGCAUUCUCUCAGGGUAUAGAUCUUGUUUUAUUUUUCCUCAUUUCCCAGAUCUGAUGCAGGCUUUGCCUGACAGUUAACAAACGGUGUCAAGUGGGUGUGCAGUGUGUGCUGUAGGAAAUAAGGGCUCACUAGGACCCUGCUGGACAGGCCGCCCACCGGCUCCCACUUCUCUGGAGGGCCUAGCAGACAGCCACCAGCAGGAGCAGCCUCUCAGGACGCCCAGAGCUGCUGCCUGCCAGCCCUUCGCACACGAGCCCUGCUGACAGGGCUCAGACAGGGUUCCUUUCUCCUCUCCAAGCUGAACGUGGCCAGUCCACAGUUCCUUAACAUACUGACUGUCCCUCCAGUCUGGAGAGGCACAGAAGGAUCCAGGUGUCGUCUGGACAGGCAGAGCAUGGAUGAGGAUUGAAGAUUUAGGUCUGCAUGCUUCCUUCGGCCGUCAGUGUGGCUUCCAGUGCUGCAGGAAGGCUCAGGGUUGCUGCCCGUUGUCUUUCUUGCUUUGGUGUUCUCGUGGCCUUUAUGUAGGUAUAUUGUGCUAUAAAACCUCAUGUUGUAGGGCUGGGGACUUAGCUCAGUGGUUCUGCCUCUUACCUUGUAAGUGCAAGGUCCUGAGUUCAAUCCCCAAUACCAAAACACCCCCCAAAAACCAAACCUCAUGUUGUAGUUCUUGUGAGCAGAGUAGUUUUCCCUCCACAAUCCUGGAAACUCCCCGAAGGCAGCUGGCUGGUGGUGGGCACUCCAUUAAAUGUUAGCUAGUACUAUUUGCUUUGUUAUUUUCUCAUUGCAAUGGACGACGUUCAUAUCAUUUAAUGAGCAUGUGCUGUGUGCCAAAAACUGCUCGAUGCUGGAAUGCAGCCCUACCUGCGGAGCUCCCAGGCACUUGGGAAGACUGGUUGAUUGGAUGAUGAAUCCUGGUUGUAGUCCCUGUGAUGAACACCUCUGCUGUCAGACAUCACUGGCUGCCUUCUGUGUGCUCAACUUAGAACGCAUCCUUCCUGUCCUGGAAUAUAAGUGGCUGAAGAAGACACCCCUAUGGGAGAAAAUUCCCUGGACUUUUUAGUGAACUGGCUAGGAGUCGAGUCCUAGCUCUGCUGCAAACCCACUUUGUGCCCAUGGCGAGCCCAUUCUUCAGCGGCCGGAGGAUAUCCUGUGGAGCAGUGCAGCGCCCGGCCUCCCAUCCUGUGUGAACUGCAAGGCAGCGGCUGUGGCCCUGAGGCCCUCUUCUCUCCCAGGCCAGGCUGCGCCUCCUGCUCACAGUUCUACUUUUCCUAAGCCAAACUGGAGGCCAGGGCACCGAGAACGUCGAGAUGGCAUAUUUCCAGAGUGUGGAGGAGACAGACUGUACCGCAGGAGCCUGGAGCCAGGCCCCAAAGGUUCUGCUGGCUGUCCCAGGGGCCUGCCCUUACGACAGCCCACCCGGGACAUCUCGGAGCUUGUAUCUCUGCUCAUCAGAAGUUGGAGGAGUGGGUUCGAGGGGGCAGCUGUUUCCUAUAAAAAUGUCCAGUAGAGGUAAUGUCCUUGGGACAAACUCUUUUUUUUUCUAUACUGGGGAUGGAACAUACAGCCUUCACUCUGAACUGUAUCCUCAGCUCCCUUUAAAAAAAAAAAUUAUUUUGAGAAAGGGUUUUGAUAAGUGCUAAAUUGCCCAGGGUGGGCUCCAACUUGCAGUGCUGGCCUCCCAAAGUACAGGGAUUACUGCUGGACACGAUGCCCGGUUGGUCAUCCUUUUUUUUGGGGGGGAGGGUACCGGGGAUUGUACUCCAGACCUUGUGCUUUCGAGGCAGGCGCCGGAACCACUGAGCUAAAUCCCCGGCCCUGGUUGGUCAUCCUUUUUGACACCCAAGCUAAGGAGGCUCAUUCUGUGCCUGAGGCUCCAGUGUCUCGCAUUCUGCCCGCUGGAAUACGGUCUCUCAGAGGGGCUGUGGAGCCUCGUGUGGUCGACUCCAACCAAGGUGCAGGCAUUUGGGGAGCGUCGUCCCCAGGUAAUUCCUGUGUGUCCAUUUCCUGUUACUGAGACAAAUUACUAUAAACUUGGUGUCUUAGAAAAACACACAUCUAUUUUCUUAAAGUUCUGAGGGCCAGAAAUCCAAAAUAAGUCUCAGUGGGCUAAACUCAAGGUGUCAGCGGGAAUGUGUUAAUCUCCACCGAGGCUCUGUGCCUGUCCCAGGGUCAAGAGGCUCCACGCGUUCUGCCCUGUGGCUCCUUCCUCUGACUUCAAGUCCAGCAGUGGCUGGUCAGGACUUCCACAUAAUGCCAUCUCUCAGAUUCUACCUCUCCUGCCUCCCUCUUCCCUGUUUAAGGAGCCCAGUGAUUACAUUGGGCCCCCCAGACAAUUUCUCUGUUUCCCACUUCCAGCAACCUUAAUUCUCCAUUGCCACGUAUCAUGGCGCAUCCACAGGUCCCACCCACUUGGACGUGGACAUCUUUAUUCCACCAUGGACCGUUAUUUUGCACACCCAGCCAACCUCUCCUGUGGCUUUUCCAAGGGUCUCAUCCUCAGGCAUAGACAGUGGGCUGGGCCAGACCAGUCAGGAUGUGCCCACCACUGGCAGAGAGGUCCUUUCUGCCCAGACACCCUCCCUGCUUUAGCUCACCUCCUCUUCUCUCAUCCUCUGCUCCCCCUCUGGCGUAGAGGGAAGCUGGUGAGGCUAGAUGCGCCGCGGGAGCCCAGGGAGCUGAGCCCUCCCCGGCCAGACAGCCUGUCUUCCAGGGGCUGGAGCCAGAGCCCAGCCUUUGCGGUCGCGGACUCACAGUCUGAGGGCAGUUGCAGGGUCGGAGGGGCAGGCAGGCACAUAUCGGAGACACACGUAUCCCCUGUGCCUCUCGGCCUCCCUUCCUCAGGUGACAACAGCCUGUCUACCCUCCGGCACUCGGUGGUCCUUUUUGGGGCUGGGACCUUGAGAGGCUCCCAAGGAGGGGAGGCCCCCAUCAAAUCUGUCCCUGGGUACUGGUGAGGACCUGGGGGAUCCAGGACCCCAGCAAGAGGUCUCAUCAGCACAGCAGAGCAAAGCAGGAGGAGCUGGACAGGGCCUUCGGUCUUCAAGUAUGGUGACCAGUUGGGCUUGGUUUGCCUAAGACUUUCCCACUUUGAGCAGUGGGGGUCCAAGCCCUGGAACUCGGUCAGAGCAAACCGAGACAGCUGGUCACCCUGUCUCCAGGGCCUUUAUCACAUUGUCUUCCGCUCUGGGUCAUCUCCGCUGCUACACAGCCAGCUCUUUGGACUCCUGGAUACUAGAAAGACCUGGGGGCUGAGGAAGGACCCCAGGCUCACGCCAGAAAGGAGCAGGCUCUUGCCCCAGCAAGCCCGGCAGAGGAGCCAUCAACAGUGAAGACCAAGCUGGUGUCUGCGGGGCACAGAGCUCCCAGGAGCAGUGUGCGUAAGACGGUGAAAAGGAAACCUCUAAACACUUAGCAGCCUGGUCACUUCUGAGUGGUGGAUUGCAGGUGGCUUUCAUAAAUACUUUGAGUUCCCCCUCUGUAUUUCUUCCUCUCUGUACAAGUAAGCCAUGUUCUUUCUGUAUGUUUUUAAUAAAAGAAAGCCAGUGGUGACUCAGCCAUCCAUCUCCAGUCCUGCUGAGGGACACGAGCAGUUGUGCUGGCACCUGUGACCUUGGCUGUGGGCUGGUCAUGGCCCCAUUCUGCCCGAAGCUCUACUGCAAGGGCAGGGAAGCUACUCCUCCGUGUCCUUCGGCCCCACAGUGCACCCAGGGUCCAGCCUGGCUUGUUCCCUGAGUGAAGACUCAAAAGCCUGAUGUGCUCUCUCUUGGCAGAGCAGGGGUGCAGGUGCUGAGGACACACAGGAUGUGGCUGGCCAUUGGGAGAUGCUCUUGAGCACCACUCUGGACUGAGAAUGAUGGGGAGAGGAGCUCUUGCCUCCAGGCAGCUGGCACCUGGUUGGAGAGCUCGGGUUACCCCACAGACCAUGUGGCGCAUGGUGGACUGGAUGAGGCCUUGCCUGUGAGGAUUGUCCGAGGUCGCAUAGGGGAGACCCAGGAGCCUCACUGCACUUGUCUUAGAAUGGCCAGAGGCCAAAACAGGUUUUCUUGAGUGACCUGAGGCAGCCCCCCAAGCUCGGGGUAAAUGGUCUCCCCGUCCCAGAACUCGCUGCUGGACACUUUGUGACAGAAGAGUGGCAAGAACAGUCAGCAAGAUGUUCCACUCUUAGACAGCUGGGCACCCUUGGGCCCUCCUCCUUGCCCUCUCCCCUCGUAUUCUUUGGGAGUGCCAGGCUCUAGACUUCCUCUGGCUGCCUCCGUCUGGUCUCCUGAUACCAAGCAGUUCUCUCCACCCCAAGCCCAGCAAGAGCACUUGGAAGGGAGCCCUGGGUCUCCAGUAGAGGCAGCCACCCCUCCACCUCCUACAUACAGGGCCAGCAUUCCCCACCCUAGUCCACCCUAGUCCACCAUUGUCCUGGUGAGGCCAACAUGUGACCUUGUUCAUUGUUUUGGAAAAGUAGUAAGUGUUCUGGCCUAAUGAUCCCUCCCUAUUGAACCCAGAACCCAAGCACAACUCCAUGUUCACACAACUCCCUUGACCCAGGAAGUCAGCUUUCUCAGAGAAGCCUGGCAUGUGCUUCCCCCUCCUUGCCACACCCUCGCCCCUAAGCCAAGAUCCUGCUCUAUCCCUUCUCCCUAAGCAAAGCUGCAGCUGAGUGUUUUUACUACUUUCUUUUUUUUUUUUGGUGCUGGGGAUCGAACUUGGGUCCUUGCGCUUGCACAGCAAGUGGCAAAACCACUGAGUUAAAUCCCCAGCCCCUAAACUGAGUGUUUUUAAGUGCUAGGGAAGACCUUGCUAGUCCUGCCUCAAUUCUGGGCAGAUUUGGGAAUCUGAACGUGUGAGGGAAAAGUGAUAGCAGAAUUGGACACUCCCCACAUCCAUGUGGUUUUUAAGGGAAAGAGGACAGUAGGAACGGAGACAGGGAUUCAGGCCAGUUCAGGAUUCGGCCACACAAAGUAGUGAGGGCCCCAACCUGGCGACCUCUUGGCUGGCUAUGGAGGCUGGGCAGGCCUCCCCUGAAGGGAAGGUAGUAGUGAGCUCUGGUGUCUACCUGGUGUGGCAACUAGCAUCUGCCUUGGGUGCUGCAGUUUCUCAGGAAUUAGACCCACUAGAGGCACAGGGCCUGAGCCCGGCCCAAGGCUAGGAGUUAGGAUGCACCUCUGAGUGGUCCAGACCUCUGAGGGACCCCAGAGGCCAAAACCGUCUGGCCUAGGGCAGAAGAGCUGGCUUCGCAGACAGAAUUGUGUCUAAAAAGUCCCCUUUGACCCCUAGAGCUGAGACCUACCAGGCCAGAGUCCCCUAGAGAAAACGGACUGUGUAGCUAAGCUGCUCCCUGCUCUGAGGCCAAGUAUCAAGCCUGUCAGGUCACAGCCCUGGCCUUGGCCUUCAGAACUGCAUGCAGGUGGCCUCCCGGGUAGAGGUGGGGAAUCACUUCUCUUGGGGCCCAAGCCAAACUCCACCACACUGGGGCCCUGGGGCCUGUGGCGGCAGAGCCAUAUUGUCUGAAGUACCAGGAGGGGCCAGGGGCGCUGAUGCCAAGGCGACACAGCAGCUGAACCUUUGCUGUCUUCCGUCAAGGUCUCCAGAUGCCUUCUUGUCAUAGGUUCCUAGUGCCCUGUCCCUUGCCGGCACUCCCCAAAUUCCCCCCCAGGCUUCAGUUUCUUCCUUUGUAGGCAGCCUGAUCUUGUAGAACCCACCUGUGUUCUGGGCAUGGACAGGUGUGGGUUGGAAUCCAGCUGAGUCACCCGUCGUGGGCAAGCCCCUUGUGCGUGCUGAGCAUGGUUUCCUGGUCUGUGAAUGAGGCUGGGGGUGGGGAGCUGUGCCUGAGUGACAGUGCAAAGGGGAGCUUGGCACAGUCCCUGGUCCCAAGGGAACACUCGGGUCUGUUUCAUUAUCCAAGCAGAUCUGAGGUCUGCUCUAGUUCUGCUCCUUUCCAAGCUGCAGACUGCACUGAGCCCGCAGAAGUGGGGGCUUCUUCUGCAACUGCCCCCCCACCACCAGAAAAGCAGCAGAAAUGGACCUUUGGGAGCCGCCUGGAGCCAGGAAAACCACAGCCAGCCAGCUAGGUCUUCCUCAGACUCGACCCCACAAGGGAGCUCUGGCCGGCGAAGCCGCCUUCCACCCUGCCACGUACCUUCACCUCUGGAAAAGGAGCACACCAGCGCCCCAGGCUCUGGUUUCUGUAAGAGCUGGUGAAAGUGGGGAGAGACCAGUGCUGAGUUCAGAUGGAUUUUACACAUCUUCCGUGUGGAGAGUGAGUGGUUGCCUCAGUUAAGACACAGCAUCACGUAGGUCAGACGAAAGUUCCUUGUUGGAUGCUUCAACCGGGCUGUGUGGAGGAAACUCCGACCCCAUGCAAGAGUGGAGUUUUGGGUCUGGGCCAACAGUGAGAAAGACGGCCCACUGGUCGCAGAGAAUGACAACUUGAGCAUGACCCAGCUCCAUGGACUAGGUGGCAUCACUCCCAGAGAAAAGGGCUCCACCUGCAACCAAGCUCAAGGCUUUUCCCAGGAUUUCAGCUGGGCCCUGGGCAGACCCCACUGGAGGCUUCCAGAGACCGGGAGCAAGCUCUUAUGUGUGGAGGCAGGGUGACCACAACACCCUAUACACGUGCAUGGAGAGAUGCUGAAAGCUGAUACUCUAAGAAGGGAUGAUUUUCACAUUAGCCUUCAGCUUUCAUCCUACUGCAAGUAGCUGAAUAAAUAAACCAACCCGAUUAAAGUAACACCUUUGGAAUAAAACAAGGAAACUCCUCUGGCUGAUGAGAAAUGCCCUCCAGUGUCUGUAAACUUGGUUCAUCAUGGGUGUGCCUGAGACUAGCUGGUGUACCUGAAAUCCCCCUUUGAUACUUUACCCCAUUGCAAAGUGGCCCUCAAUGACCAUAAUGUCACAGUAAUCCCAACAAAGCUCAUCUUUCAAUGACCUCCUAGCUCCUUCAACCAAGAACUUCCAUUCUGAGUGCUUAGAUUGAAAAUCUUGGGAAUUACCUACCCUUAGGAAGCACUGACAAGUCCUGAAUGAUCUUAAACUUUUAGGCCCAAAUUUGGUUCAGAUUAUACUGAGGCUGAUCCUUUCCAGACUCUGUUUGCUAAUGAGAUAGUCCCAGCUGCCAUCACCUUUAGGUCUGACUUCUAGGCCUGGGCCGAGGUUCACAGUGAGAUGUGAUGCGACAGCUCCCUAUCCUGUUAGGUCGGUCCCUAUCACACAUGCUCUUCCCUGGAGCCCAGCUGCCUUGCAAUUUUGGGUGCAGAGUUUUAGGUUCCUUCUCUGGACAUUCCAAUGGGUUGGAACCAAGAAUUAGUGAUCAGAUCUAUCUUGGUUCUGGAGGUUGGAAGCCAAUGGACAUAAUUCCUUUCAUGUUCUGGUAAUAUACAUGUGGUAAAUUUUGCUUAUUAGAACUUGGAAGAUUUCUACAGAUGCCUGGGACUUCAUCAGACCCAUGCCUACUCUCCAUCAGGGAUCAGGUUGAAGGAUAAGAACAGUCAGAAGCAGACCCUACUGUUUGUUAUGGGUUGCCUCACUUCCUCACCAUUACCCUGGCUUCAUGCCAUUCCCCCAGCCAUCAUUAACCACUAGAAGAACACCUACUAAAAAGCCCUAGGUAGAAGCCAUAGGAAGCUAACCACCACAAUCUAGUUCUUAACAAGGGCUGGAGGAGCUGGGAAAUGCCAUGUUGUCCAUCUCCCUGCUCCCAGCUGAGGCUGCUCUUGAAAACUCCAAGUGGAUCUCAUGAUGGACAGGGCUUGUGACUGGGGUUUGUGAAGACACCAGCGUAAGAAUACUCAUCCAGUAGGAGCCCACCUGCCCCUCACAUGGCAUUUCUGAGAUCAGGGAACUCCAUUUCCUGAGCUUGCCAGAGAAUGUCAGUCCAACUUUUGCCCAUUUUCCAGUUUCCCCAUCAUUUUCUCACUCAGCCUUCCCUUCUCGUCCAACCAAGGGUCCUCAAUCCUCCCAGGGCACUGGUCCCUUGGAAGUCCCAGUCCCAGUGGUGUCUGGGGGUGAGGAUAUGGGAGAUGUGUCCCUGAGCAACACUUCCUGCCAUGACCCCAUCCCCUCGGCAGUGUUGGCGAUCCAGCCACCCUACCCACUACAGGGUGCUAUUCAUACCAGGGAGCCAGAGACCAGGAAGGGAGAUGGGAACGCCCAUCUCUAGACCUUCCACUCACAUUCCUGUGACUUGGGCCUUACCUAAGGGGGAUUGUCAUUUAUUGGUGAUUCCCUAUGGUUCUCAGAUACUGUCCUAGUCAAAUACGCUGAUCAGAUUCUGUACACUAUCUCAGGUGGAACUCUGGUAAGAUGUGUUUAAGGGUUUUUAUUUUUUGGUACCGGAGAUUGAACUCGGGUCCUUGCGUUUGCACAGCAGGCGGCCAAACCACUGAGCUAAAUCCCCGGCCCCCUGGAUGUGUUUAGAAAAUCUGCCUCCCAAGGUCUUAAUGCAUUUGUGCAUGGAGCUGUUGUGAAACACUGCAGGGCUGGUAUUCAGCACCUAUACCAUUAUUGUUCUUUUUUGGUACCGCGGAUUGAACUCAGUGUUCGUUUUUAAGUCUUAAACUGGGAAGUAAAUAGCCCUAAACCCCUUCCCCAGUGUCCUCCAACCACCAAGCUCCUCACCGAGAUCUGUUCCCAAGCCACUAUCUACUUGCACUGCCCAAAAAAGGCAACCACUGGCCACGUGAGGCCAUUUAAUUUUAAUUAAAAUUUAAAAUUGGUCCUGAUUGUCACUGACCUCAAUUUGCACACGUGGCUACCAUACUGAGCAGUGGAGUCGGGACAUUCCCAUCACGGUAUUAACUGUACAGUAAGCCAUGCCAGUGUAGCAGGCCUCAGAGACCUUUCUUGGCUAUUGCCUGUUCCUAUUAUGUGUGACUGUGUCAUACUUAUUAACUUUGUGAAAUAGCACCUGCAUGUUCUGCAGGACACAGUCCAUGCAUGACACAUUCCUAAAACCUAACACCCACCGCUGUCCGGGCCCCUGGACCCUGAAUCAACUCCUAACUAGGGCUAUACGGUGAAGGACAAGGAAGCUAUGAUUACGUGGGCAUGUCCCUGAGACAUGACUGUCCCCUCCUCCCACCACCUUCUCUGACUGUAACUGGAAGGAUUCACAUGGAUGCACGUCAGUGCUCCCCCAACUGCAGGCUCCGGCAGGACGCCAAUGAUGAGUCCACCAGAAUGUUCCCAUACAAGUAAAGCCAGUGAUAAUUUCUUUGUAAAUAAAAGGCCACACCCCUUA